AGAGAGGAAUGUGGAGAAGGAAGACAAGUACGAUACAUGGCACCGUGUGGAGCGUAGCAGUGGCAAGUUCUUGAGGAGGUUCAGGCUGCCGGAGAAUGUGAAGAUGGAUGAGGUUAAGGCUUCUAUGGAGAAUGGAGUUCUUACUGUGACUGUUCCUAAGGAGGAAGUCAAGAAAACUGAUGUGAAGGCUAUUGAGAUUUCUGGUUGAGAUAUUAUUUCUUGUGAAAAGUAUAUGGAGAGAUAAAGGGUUGGUGUGUGUUCUGUAAAUUUACAGGGUAUAAUUAUUGAAAUUUUGUGAGCAGUGUGUAAUAUAAAAUAUCUUUGGUUAUCUAAUAAUAAUAAUUUGCAGUUCUUGCCGGCUCUUGUUUAAACCAAUUUGCAUAGGCGUCUUU
rnacentral:misc_RNA from 1 species